rnacentral:rRNA from 1 species
UCUAAAAAUAAAAAGGUAAUACUCUCGAGGAAACCUUCACUCAUUGACGGCCUCUUUUCUAAUCAAAGGAACUUGUUAUAUUAUCGAAAUUACCCGUUUAUUUUCCCCCACUUCUAAAGCUUUUAUACCGUCGUCUUAAGAAGAAACUCAAUAGUAAUUUUCGAAAUUAAUCAAUUAAGCAAGUCAGAUCAAGGUGAAGCCCAUAAGUGGGCACCUAAUGAGUUAUACAUAAAAAAGAUUUAAGGAAAUUCACAUAAAUUUCUCAAUGAAUUAAGAUUCGAAAGUACAUUUUUAUUAAAAAUUCUAGUGGAACCAGGAAAAAGAGGUGU